rnacentral:rRNA from 1 species
GACGAACGCUGGCGGCGUGCUUAACACAUGCCAGUCGAACGGAAAGGCCUCUUUCGGGGGGUACUCGAGUGGCGAACGGGUGAGUAACACGUGAGUAACCUGCCCUUGACUUUGGGAUAACUUCAGGAAACUGGGGCUAAUACCGGAUAGGAGCUCCUGCUGCAUGGUGGGGGUUGGAAAGUUUCGGCGGUUGGGGAUGGACUCGCGGCUUAUCAGCUUGUUGGUGGGGUAGUGGCUUACCAAGGCUUUGACGGGUAGCCGGCCUGAGAGGGUGACCGGCCACAUUGGGACUGAGAUACGGCCCAGACUCCUACGGGAGGCAGCAGUGGGGAAUAUUGCACAAUGGGUGGAAGCCUGAUGCAGCAACGCCGUGUGCGGGGUGACGGCCUUCGGGUUGUAAACCGCUUUCGCUCAUGACGAAGCUUUGUGUGACGGUAGUGGGUAAAGAAGCACCGGCUAACUACGUG